rnacentral:rRNA from 1 species
GUCUUUAUGAGUGGGAUAUAAAGUCUGGCCUGCCCACUGAUCAUUUAAAGGGCCGCGGUAUACUGACCGUGCGAAGGUAGCAUAAUCAUUAGUCUCUUAAUUGGAGGCUGGUAUGAAUGGUUGAACAAGAGCUAAACUAUCUAUGCUUCAAGCAUUGAACUUAACUUUUGAGUUAAAAGGCUCAAAUAAUCCAGGGGGACGAUAAGACCCUAUAAAGCUUUAUGCAAGUGGCACUGUCAGGAGAGAUAAAAGAUAAGUUCUGGCAUUGCUUGGGCAUUUCGCUGGGGCGGCGAAGAUACGUUUGCGAGCUGUCUUUAUGAUUAACACAGAUUAGUGAAUAUUAAUUGAGCCUUUAUUAUGGAGUAUAAGUUUAAGUUACUUUAGGGAUAACAGCGUAAUCUUUUUUGAGAGUCCAAAUCGAGAAAGAGGUUUGCGACCUCGAUGUUGAAUUAAAAUUACUUUCCGGUGUAGAAGUUGGGAGAGUAGGUCUGUUCGACCUUUAAAUUUUUACAUGAUUUGAGUUCAGACCGGCGUAAG